rnacentral:rRNA from 1 species
CGACCCCAGGUCAGGCGGGGCCACCCGCCGAAUUUAAGCAUAUAAAUAAGCGGAGGAGAAGAAACUUACAAGGAUUCCCCUAGUAACGGCGAGCGAACCGGGAACAGCCCAGCUUGAGAAUCGGGCGGCUCCGCCGUCCGAAUUGUAGUCUGGAGAAGCGUCCUCAGCGACGGACCGGGCCUAAGUUCCCUGGAAGGGGGCGCCUGGGAGGGUGAGAGCCCCGUCCGGCCCGGACCCUGCCGCACCACGAGGCGCUGUCGACGAGUCGGGUUGUUUGGGAAUGCAGCCCAAAUCGGGCGGUAAAUUCCGUCCAAGGCUAAAUACGGGCGAGAGACCGAUAGCGAACAAGUACCGCGAGGGAAAGAUGAAAAGGACUUUGAAAAGAGAGUCAAAGAGUGCUUGAAAUUGUCGGGAGGGAAGCGGAUGGGGGCCGGCGAUGCGCUCCGGUACGGCGAGAGCCGGUCCGCCGCUCGGCUCGGGGCGCGGACCAUCGCGGGCCGCGCCGGCGGGCGAAGCCCGGGCGGAUGAUCCCGCCCGCGGAACGCCGUCGGCACGGCCGAGGANNNACGCGGCGCGCGCCGCAAGGCGUGCCCUCGGGCACCAGCGCGCCCCAGGCGACGGUCUGCGGGCUCCCCAUCCGACCCGUCUUGAAACACGGACCAAGGAGUCUGACAUGCGUGCGAGUCUUUGGGUGCGGAAACCCGCAAGGCGCAAGGAAGCUGACGGGCGGGAGCCCCCUCGAGGGGCGCACCGCCGGCCGACCCCGAUCUUCUGUGAAGGGUUCGAGUUGGAGCAUGCCUGUCGGGACCCGAAAGAUGGUGAACUAUGCCUGAGCGAGGCGAAGCCAGAGGAAACUCUUGUGGAGGCCCGAAACGAUACUGACGUGCAAAUCGUUCGUCUGACUUGGGUAUAGGGGCGAAAGACUAAUCGAACCAUCUAGUAGCUGGUUCCCUCCGAAGUUUCCCUCAGGAUAGC